CCUACGGGGGGCAGCAGUGGGGGAUAUUGCACAAUGGGGGAAACCCUGAUGCAGCGACGCCGCGUGUGGGAAGACGGUCCUCUGGAUUGUAAACCACUGUCCCCAGGGACGAAGAUGACGGUACCUGGGGAGGAAGCUCCGGCUAACUACGUGCCAGCAGCCGCGGUAAUACGUAGGGAGCGAGCGUUGUCCGGAAUUACUGGGUGAAAAGGGAGCGUAGGCGGGACUGCAAGUUGGGUGUCAAAUCUACCGGCUCAACCGGUAGCCGCACUCCAAACUGCAGUUCUUGAGUGAAGUAGAGGCAGGCGGAAUUCCUAGGGUAGCGGUGAAAUGCGUAGAUAUUAGGAGGAACACCAGUGGCGAAGGCGGCCUGCUGGGCUUUUACUGAUGCUGAGGCUCGAAAGUGUGGGGAGCAAACAGGAUUAGAUACCCCAGUAGUC
rnacentral:rRNA from 1 species